rnacentral:rRNA from 1 species
UACGUAGGGUGCGAGCGUUAAUCGGAAUUACUGGGCGUAAAGCGUGCGCAGGCGGUGAUGUAAGACAGAUGUGAAAUUCCUGGGCUCAACCUGGGGACUGCAUUUGUGACUGCAUCGCUAGAGUGUGGCAGAGGGGGAUGGAAUUCCGCAUGUAGCAGUGAAAUGCGUAGAUAUGCGGAGGAACACCGAUGGCGAAGGCAGUCCCCUGGGCCUGCACUGACGCUCAUGCACGAAAGCGUGGGGAGCAAACAGG